rnacentral:rRNA from 1 species
CUGUGUGGAUGCUAGUUCCGUGGUGGAAUUUUUGGUUACCCACCAACCUCCCGGGAGGGUAGGUUACGGGUAGGUACAAUCAGAUAAGAACGACGUGAACCUGGUGAGGUGGAAACGGACAGAGCUGGCGUAUCUAGCCUGCAUUCAGCCUCUGGGCAUCUGACCUUGGGACGACGCCUCCAGAUUGGAGUGUUGUUUUGUCCGUCGGGUGCUGCGUGGUGCAUUUGCAGGUGGAGUGCGCCGAGGCGUUCGGUGCAGCGCUGUGAGCCUGAUUUUGAGGCUAGAUGUAAAUCUAGUACCCGAAACGGGCGAACAUUGUUUGCAUUGUGCGUUCGGGUGUUGGUAUUCGGGCACUUGUGGUGCCCAAUUGGCGAUGGGUGGCAGCCGCAUGCGACAUGUGCCCGGAGUUAGUUCGGUCCUGCUUGUGCUCACAACGCCAAUCCUCGGUGUAAAAGCCGGUCAUCUGUCCGACCCGUCUUGAAACACGGACCAAGGAGUUUAGCGUGUGCGCGAGUCAUUGGGCGUUGAAAACCCAAAGGCGCAAUGAAAGUGAAUGACUCCCUCGUGGAGCUGAUGUGCGACCCUGCGUAUUGCGGUGCGUGGGGGCAGCAUAGUCCCGUCUUGACCGCUUGCGGUGGGGCGGAGAAAGAGCGUACGCGCUGAGACCCGAAAGAUGGUGAACUAUUCCUGAGCAGGACGAAGCCAGAGGAAACUCUGGUGGAAGUCCGAAGCGAUUCUGACGUGCAAAUCGAUCGUCUGACUUGGGUAUAGCAUCUUACGUCUUUAAUCUCUUACUGGGUCCUUCCUAACCAAAGGUAAUUUGUUAUGGGA